UACGUAGGGAGCAAGCGUUGUCCGGAUUUAUUGGGCGUAAAGAGCUCGUAGGCGGUUUGGAAAGUCAGGUGUGAAACCUCCAGCUCAACCUGGAGACGCCACUUGAUACUUCUAUGACUUGAGUUCGGUAGGGGUAAGCGGAAUUCCUGGUGUAGCGGUGAAAUGCGUAGAGAUCGGGAAGAACAUCGGUGGCGAAAGCGCUCUGCUGGACUGCAACUGACACUCAGGGACGAAAGCUAGGGGAGCGAAUGGG
rnacentral:rRNA from 1 species